AACGAACGCUGGCGGCAGGCUUAACACAUGCAAGUCGAGCGCCCCGCAAGGGGAGCGGCAGACGGGUGAGUAACACGUGGGAAUCUACCCAUCCCUGCGGAACAACUCCGGGAAACUAGAGCUAAUACCGCAUACGCCCUACGGGGGAAAGAUUUAUCGGGGAAGGAUUGGCCCGCGUUGGAUUAGCUAGUUGGUGGGGUAAAGGCCUACCAAGGCGACGAUCCAUAGCUGGUCUGAGAGGAUGAUCAGCCACAUUGGGACUGAGACACGGCCCAAACUCCUACGGGAGGCAGCAGUGGGGAAUAUUGGACAAUGGGCGCAAGCCUGAUCCAGCCAUGCCGCGUGAGUGAUGAAGGCCUUAGGGUUGUAAAGCUCUUUCACCGAUGAAGAUAAUGACGGUAGUCGGAGAAGAAGCCCCGGCUAACUUCGUGCCAGCCGCCGCAGUAAGAC
rnacentral:rRNA from 1 species